CACUUGAAUUCGGACAGAUCGAGCUCAUUUUGGUGAAGCAGGACCAGCAUGUUUAUUUUAUUGUUACACUUCAUGAUGUGUCCUAUAUGCCAGAAUUUGUAUUGUAUGAAGUGAAACAAGCAAGGCAGAGCAUGAGGUGCUGGAAACCUGGGCUGAGACUAGAUUAUUAUCCUUUACCUGUGUACAAGCUGUGUGGGACAAGAGUAAUUUCAUUUAAGCAUAGCAUUCUUGACUCAGAGUAAAGAUCGAGUUUUUGACAUUUUACACUCAUGCUUCAAAAACCAGUCUCUCAUCCCUUCUAGUCCUCCUAGUCAUGGAUACAGAAAGUCCGCUUCUGUCCUUCAUCAAGUCAAGUCUACCAAAACUGAAAGACCUUGAGCCUUUGCUUGAGCUUCUACAAGAUUUAGGAGUUGAGGGACUGGAGGACCUGAGCUAUCUGCAGGAAAGUGAACGCCUACCUGUCCUGCGGCCAGCUGAAGUCAGAAAACUUCUCUCACAGCUUAAAAAGACAAGCCAUCAAGGUGUGUUUCACAGUCCUCCAAGCAACCAACAGUUCAGCAGAGCUAGUACCAGUACAAGUCCAGUAACACGGUCUGACGAGAUGCUCAUGUCUGGUCUCCACUUCAUCAGACAUAACCUAGACUCAGAGCUGGAUGAGGUGAGGACAAACAGCAGCCUAUUCGACGAAGAUGAUGGAUCCAUGGGGUCAGGAAAGCCAGAAGCAGGGGAGCUGGAGAGGUACCUUUCAUGUCCAUUCACUGGAGGUGUGGAUAUAUUGCAUGGCUUUCCUCACAUAAAGAAGCUGUCGAUCAAAAUCAAUACAGCUCUUCCUGCAUCUGGAGCUUGUGAAGGACUUCUUAGUCAUGCAGGACUCCUGGUUACUGCUAAACAGUUACAGCUUCACAGCAAGAACCUUGAGAGCAAACUGCUGCUAAAGCUUAACCAUCACCUCACUGAGUGAAGAAAUGGCACAUUUUUGCUAAUUAUGCAAAAAUAGAUGCACACCCAUACAACUUAUGGUAAACUGAGCUGCCUUGUAUGUACUUAUGUUGAAGAUGCCUCGUUCUAAUGUUUUCUCUGAGGCUGCUGUGCCAUUUGGAGCAAACAUGAAUAUAAAGUUUACAGCAUAUCUUGUCACUGGAAAUUGUUUGCACUGUUUAUAUAUUUAUAUUAUUUACUGUAGGUAUUGGUGAAAAAAGCUUUAUGUUGUGAAAAACUGAAAUCUGGAAAUUAGAAUUGUUGUGCCUUAUUUUGUUGAUGUUUUUACAUACAGGGAGUGCAGAAUUAUUAGGCAAGUUGUAUUUUUGAGGAAUAAUUUUAUUAUUG
ensembl:lncRNA